UCUGACUGUUGUAGCAGGAGCAAGUCCGUUAAUAGCUGCUGGAACAAUCAGUGUUGUUCUCCUGGCUGUCCUAUCCCUCUCUGUCUUCCUGUGGAUCAGAAAGAGGAGGGCUUCCAGGGACUCGUCUGGACCAGACAACAGGGAACAGAGUGAGCCAGAGGAGCAGGUUGACCUUCAGUACGCCACCAUCCACGUCUCCAACAGCCAGGCAGAUCCUCUGUACUCCAACAUCAGAGCUGCUCAGCCCCUCAGACACAGGGAGCAACAGGAAGCUGUUGAGUACGCUGCUGUCAGGUUCAACAGUGACAGUACUGCCCCGAGAACCAGAGGUCGGGACACUGGAGAGGAUCCAGCUGCUUUGUACAGCACAGUCAACAAAACCCGAUGACAAACAACAGGCAUUGCAUUUAUAGUCUCCAUUUCUAUCUUUUUUCGCCAAAAAAUAAUUCAAAUUAAUCAGGUAA